CCUACGGGGGGCAGCAGUGAGGAAUAUUGGUCAAUGGACGAGAGUCUGAACCAGCCAAGUAGCGUGAAGGAUGACUGCCCUAUGGGUUGUAAACUUCUUUUAUAUGGGAGUAAAAUGUUCCACGUGUGGGAUUCUGUAUGUACCAUAUGAAUAAGGAUCGGCUAACUCCGUGCCAGCAGCCGCGGUAAUACGGAGGAUCCGAGCGUUAUCCGGAUUUAUUGGGUUUAAAGGGAGCGUAGGUGGAAUGUUAAGUCAGUGGUGAAAGUUUGCGGCUCAACCGUAAAAUUGCCGUUGAAACUGGUAGUCUUGAGUACAGUAGAGGUGGGCGGAAUUCGUGGUGUAGCGGUGAAAUGCUUAGAUAUCACGAAGAACUCCGAUUGCGAAGGCAGUUCACUGGACUGCAACUGACACUGAGGCUCGAAAGUGUGGGUAUCAAACAGGAUUAGAUACCCGUGUAGUC
rnacentral:rRNA from 1 species